GACGAACGCUGGCGGCGUGCUUAACACAUGCAAGUCGAACGGAAAGGCCCUGCUUUUGUGGGGUGCUCGAGUGGCGAACGGGUGAGUAACACGUGAGUAACCUGCCCUUGACUUUGGGAUAACUUCAGGAAACUGGGGCUAAUACCGGAUAGGAGCUCCUGCUGCAUGGUGGGGGGUGGAAAGUUUCGGCGGUUGGGGAUGGACUCGCGGCUUAUCAGCUUGUUGGUGGGGUAGUGGCUUACCAAGGCUUUGACGGGUAGCCGGCCUGAGAGGGUGACCGGCCACAUUGGGACUGAGGUACGGCCCAGACUCCUACGGGAGGCAGCAGUGGGGAAUAUUGCACAAUGGGCGGAAGCCUGAUGCAGCAACGCCGCGUGCGGGAUGACGGCCUUCGGGUUGUAAACCGCUUUCGCCUGUGACGAAGCGUGAGUGACGGUAAUGGGUAAAGAAGCACCGGCUAACUACGUG
rnacentral:rRNA from 1 species